CGGAUGCUGAAAGAGAAAAAGGAAAAAUAGAGUUCACGCCGUCAUCUCGUUAAUGAGAAACCGCAUCAGCUAUGAGCGAUCCGCGCUAUCCUGUCGAAGUCCGACUCAUCGGAGUAAUGAAGAAAGGCAAGGACAAUAAGUUCAUGACAUCCGUGCGGUGGUCAGACCAGACUGAGCUGAUAGUGUACAGAUCCUUCCGGGACUUCAAAACGCUCCAUAAGCAACUGAAAAAGAAGUGUCCUGUGGAUAACGAUUUUCGUAAAGAAGAUAGAGUGCUUCCCAGAUUUGGAGCCCAGUGCAUGGUGACUUCAUUUCAGCUGAAAGGUCUGGAUAAGUCAGUGUCCCGUCUAAGGUGUCUAGAAAAAUACUGUUCCAGCCUGUUGCAGUGUGAUACAACUGUGACACAUUCCUCAGAAGUCAUUAAAUUCUUCCUGCCAACUGAAAAGGAGCUUCUGCCAGAAUAUACCCAAAACAGUAUAAUGAUUCUGCAAUCAGAUAACAUCAACACCGUUAGCGGAGGACCUGACUUGGCAAAUAAACGUCUGAGCAUUGGAAAUGUGACCCAGCCUUUUGUAUCUAAGACAUAUCGAUGUGUGGCUCCAUUUGAGACAAAAGACACAAAGAACAAGCCAUUCAAAGUAACCGUGGAUGAAAGACUGGAUGUGCUGAUCAAAGACAAAGCAGGUUGGUGGCUUGUUGAGAAUGAGGAUAAAUGUCUAGCUUGGUUUCCUGCUCCCUACUUGGAGUUAUGUGAUGAGGAUGGAAAUGAAGAUGAUUAUGAUUCAGUUACCUUUGAAAGUUCUCUGUUCUGCUGUACAAGAAGUUACACCUCGAAAAAAGAGGACGAGCUCUCUCUAAGCAUUGGUGCUGUUGUGGAGGUGUUACAGAGAUCUGAUAAUGGCUGGUGGCUUGUAAGAUAUAACAGAAAAGUAGGCUAUGUGCCCUCUAUGUACCUGAAGCUAUACAGCAGCCCCUUUGGCCUUCAGACUCUUCAGAGGAAACUUCACAGCUCCACUAUCAACCUGUCUGCCAGCAACUCUUUAAAACUGGAGCCUCAGGUGCACUCACGGAGCAGAAUUAAUAGUUUCCUCAAAUCAAACUCUCUGGAAGUGCUGUCAGAGCAGGUACAGCACGAGGAAGCUGGCAGCUUCAGCGAUGAUGGAACCGACUUCAGCUUCAGUUCCUCAGACGCUACCUCCAUGAGCUCAAGCAUGUCCAGCUCAGAGGGGGAAGAGGGCCUGAGACAGCAGUAUAAAGAGCCAAACAGCCAUGAUAGUGGUAUGUCCAGUGCCCAGUCAACCUCCACCGACUCAGACAGUAGUUACCCUAUGAAAGGACUCGGAGCUCCCAGGGUGCCACCCAGACCACAAACUCAGGAGAUCCUACGUCGCUGCACGACGUACACUCGUAAAGUUGCUCUCGCAACCUCUGCUCGCCGGGCCUCCGACAGUUGAAGUCAUGGUAAAUAAAUGGACCAUAUGAAAGAGAUGUCUUUUUGCCUCUACAAAUUAUUCAGCAUACAGCUUCUGUAUUAGCUGUGCCCUGGUCUCACAAAACAAAAUGGAUUCUCUGAUGAACAGAAGUUCAACAGAAAUUCAUUGGCCGUUUAUCAAUCAAGGUAAGUAACGUUUUACCACUCCACAUGUCUGUGUUAUUAGUUUUAAAAAUGCGAAGCAGGGCUGCAGGGCCACUUUUCCACUUCCUACCGAAAUCUCCAGCUGUCCGUGUGAGAGGCAGCUCUGUCCUCAUGAGGGCUGUGGGCAGCAGCAGGUGCUGAGGAAGGAUGCGCAGGCGUAUGAUCAGAGCUGCAGCCACUGGCGACAGCUGUGUCCCAUGUCACAUGGCACAGCUGCACUGUGUAGCCGAGCGGUGGAGACAGAGGUCCAUCGCAGCAAGCCUGCGCAGGAAAAUGCAGUGAAUUCAGAGCCGGAUGACACACAUAAGGAGGGAAAUAAACCUGAUGUAUGAGAGACUGGAGGUUGAUGAUCUAGCGAUUGAAGAAGGAGAGAGAGCCAGUGUUUGGAUAUGGUACAUAGAGGGCACAUAGCCUAUCAUAGAUGGUAAUGCUGCCAGUCCGAGCAGCAGCAGACACUGUCACACGUAUACGGUCUUUGAAUAAAGUCAUUAUUUUUGUUUUCUUCACUUACAAACAGUAUUCUCAUCACUUCAUAACUAUAUGGUUUAACUACUGAUGGCAGAAGGACUAUUUUGACGACGUCUUUCAUACUUUCUAGAUUUUGACAGUGUAACUUACUUGGCAGUCUAUGGGACAGUCACAAUCCUCUCGGUUUUGGCCCUUUUGCCUUCUGUCUCCAGUCCAGCUCACCCCUAAACCA